AGUGAACGCUGGCGGUAGGCCUAACACAUGCAAGUCGAACGGCAGCACAGGAGAGCUUGCUCUCUGGGUGGCGAGUGGCGGACGGGUGAGGAAUACAUCGGAAUCUACUCUGUCGUGGGGGAUGACGUAGGGAAACUUACGCUAAUACCGCAUACGACCUACGGGUGAAAGCAGGGGACCUUCGGGCCUUGCGCGAUUGAAUGAGCCGAUGUCGGAUUAGCUAGUUGGCGGGGUAAAGGCCCACCAAGGCGACGAUCCGUAGCUGGUCUGGGAGGAUGAUAAGCCAGACUGGAACUGAGAAACGGUCCAGACUCCUACGAGAGGCAGCAGUGGGGAAUAUUGGACAAUGGGCGAUAGCCUGAUCCAGCCAUACCGCGUGGGUGAAGAAGGCCUUCGGGUUGUAAAGCCCUUCUGUUGGGAAAGAAAUCCAGCUGGCUAAUACCCGGUUGGGAUGACGGUACCCAAAGAAUAAGCACCGGCUAACUUCGUGCCAGCCGCCGCGGUAA
rnacentral:rRNA from 1 species